rnacentral:rRNA from 1 species
UUUAUAAAGAGUUUGAUCCUGGCUCAGGACGAACGCUGGCGGCGCGCCUAACACAUGCAAGUCGAACGAGAGAUGAGGAGCUUGCUCUUCAAAUCGAGUGGCGAACGG